AGAAAGUUAAAUGGUUGUGUUACCAAAUUCACCAUAUACUUUGAUCUGAUCUCCUUCUGUAUUGUCAUGUUUUAUUACAUAUCAGGUGGCCGUGGGAGGGUGUGAUGGUAUUCUUUUGCCAACUUUGAGCGAGAAUCUGCGUGAGCUGUACCAAGCCAUUGCCUCUGUAGCAGCAGAGCCGAAACCCGAAGAAUCAGAAAAGAGUUCACAGCACAUCCUGGAAGACUUUCACUCAAGCCGAACAAUUAGAAGGCUGGUCUUGGACAGCCCUACUUUUGCUUCCAUUCUUUUUAAGAAGGCCUUGUCUGGAAAGUGUCGGUCAUGGGCUCAAGGACACUGGUUAGCCUCUAAUCACUUCACUCAUUUAUCCAUUUUAUUUGCAAACAAUCUGAAUCUGUGUUCAAUCUCCUCUUUUUCUGCAGUUCAAGGAUAUUAUCUGCUUUCUUAGAGACUCAAGAUGUUCAAGUGCGUGAGAUGGCUAAGGAAGAGCUGCAAGUGUUGGUGGACGAAGGUGCUCUAAAGAUCACAGGAACCAAGAAACCCGAAUGAUGCACAGCCAGUACUGCUGAAUCACUUGGUGGUUUGUGUUUCAGUCUUUUCAAACAGGUUUCUACUAGGUUUCAGAGAAUCUGGGAUUAUGUCAAAGUUUUGUUUUUUUCUUCCUUCUAUGGUUUAUUACUUUAAUGCAGCUUCAAAUCCCACCUUUACAAUGUACUCAACUCGAUCUUUAGUUGCAUAUGUUUUAAUUAAUAUCACAAGUUUGUUGUUGAAGCUGAAAACAUUGAUGUGUGCAUGACUUAUUAAUUAUUGAAGGUCAAAGAAGAGUUAAAUUAACCAGGGUGAAAGAAGAGAUAUCAUCCAUGGCGAUGCUUCUUCUUUGUUUACUAUCUGCACUGCUUCGUCAUAGUUAUCAAAUAUAUGGUGGAAGAAGCCAUACAAGUUCACAACACAAAAAGUAUUUUGAUUGGAAAUAUAAAUAAGAUUGAACAAAAGUGAAGAAAGCAGAGGCCAUGUUUGGAGACAAGUAAACGACAACAACAAAUUAAUAGAUACUCUGUUUUGCUUUGGCCUCUGAAUGGUAAGAGCGGAACGAACCUGUGAUUUAUAUACGAAGAAAAUGUAUUCUGGAAUAAAUGCGGUUCAUCUGAAAUAAGUAGACUAAAACAAAAUAUGAAUUGUGACAUAUAUAACAAAUAUUGUAAUAUACAUAUAAUAUAUUUAUAUUUUAAAAUUUAAGAUAAGUUAUACUAAUAUAAUUUUAAAUAUACUUAUAUUUCUAUUCUUUUUAUUCCAUUUGUUUGUAUUCUGUUUUUCUGAAUUCAUCCUAUUCAUCUUAUUCCUCUAACUUAAAACCAGUUGCAGCCGAAGCUUUUUCUUUCCAAAAGAGGUUUAUAAAACUUGUGUAGAAUUUGGUCCAGCACUUGUUAUUGUUUUGUUACGUUAUAAGAAAGCAAAAAAUUAAAGCUAUGUAUGAAUGGUGACUAAAAAGUGUCCCGCACAUUGAAACGCCCGCUCGGCUCAAAACAUUCAUAACCUUAGUGUGUGUGUGUGUGCAGUUUACAUGAUUUUCACAGAGCUAGGAACAUAAGAGCACACAAACACAGGUGGCCUACGACAUGCGUCUGCGGGGAGGCUAAGAGAAUGAUGUACGACUCCUCCCAGAUUCACUUGUUUGAAGUGUCCAUUUCUACCAAUGAUGCAAGCAGUGUUGCGAGUAAUGCGGCCAACCUCAUCUCUGGCUUCAUCAAGAACCACUGCCACCUCCUCGUCUUCGUCAACGAAGAAACUCCCACCGUUGUCAAGAAACAGUGAGGAGGAGAAAGACGAGCAAGAAGAUACUGUAACUGAACAGAGCGGUCUUGAAGAAAAUGUCACAAUUGCUGGCAGUAAAAAAGAUCCCCUUUUGAGAAGGCAGGAGUUGCUAGUCAAGAGUGGCCUUGCUGAGGUAUCUUUGAGUGUGACUCGUUUCGUAGAUUUUGUUUUAUUGUAGUUUUCUUACCACUCAUGAGACAUUCUUAAAUUUGCUGAACAGCGGCUUAUUGAUGUCUGUGUGGAGAACGCUGAGGAAUUCCUGAAGUCUAACUUUGCCAAAGAAGUCAUGUAUGAGGUAUUGAGUUUUGGCUUCUAUCAUUUUUUUUGGAUUUAGUCCUGUUAUAUGAACGAUAGUAGAAAGUUAAAUGGUUGUGUUACCAAAUUCACCAUAUACUUUGAUCUGAUCUCCUUCUGUAUUGUCAUGUUUUAUUACAUAUCAGGUGGCCGUGGGAGGGUGUGAUGGUAUUCUUUUGCCAACUUUGAGCGAGAAUCUGCGUGAGCUGUACCAAGCCAUUGCCUCUGUAGCAGCAGAGCCGAAACCCGAAGAAUCAGAAAAGAGUUCACAGCACAUCCUGGAAGACUUUCACUCAAGCCGAACAAUUAGAAGGCUGGUCUUGGACAGCCCUACUUUUGCUUCCAUUCUUUUUAAGAAGGCCUUGUCUGGAAAGUGUCGGUCAUGGGCUCAAGGACACUGGUUAGCCUCUAAUCACUUCACUCAUUUAUCCAUUUUAUUUGCAAACAAUCUGAAUCUGUGUUCAAUCUCCUCUUUUUCUGCAGUUCAAGGAUAUUAUCUGCUUUCUUAGAGACUCAAGAUGUUCAAGUGCGUGAGAUGGCUAAGGAAGAGCUGCAAGUGUUGGUGGACGAAGGUGCUCUAAAGAUCACAGGAACCAAGAAACCCGAAUGAUGCACAGCCAGUACUGCUGAAUCACUUGGUGGUUUGUGUUUCAGUCUUUUCAAACAGGUUUCUACUAGGUUUCAGAGAAUCUGGGAUUAUGUCAAAGUUUUGUUUUUUUCUUCCUUCUAUGGUUUAUUACUUUAAUGCAGCUUCAAAUCCCACCUUUACAAUGUACUCAACUCGAUCUUUAGUUGCAUAUGUUUUAAUUAAUAUCACAAGUUUGUUGUUGAAGCUGAAAACAUUGAUGUGUGCAUGACUUAUUAAUUAUUGAAGGUCAAAGAAGAGUUAAAUUAACCAGGGUGAAAGAAGAGAUAUCAUCCAUGGCGAUGCUUCUUCUUUGUUUACUAUCUGCACUGCUUCGUCAUAGUUAUCAAAUAUAUGGUGGAAGAAGCCAUACAAGUUCACAACACAAAAAGUAUUUUGAUUGGAAAUAUAAAUAAGAUUGAACAAAAGUGAAGAAAGCAGAGGCCAUGUUUGGAGACAAGUAAACGACAACAACAAAUUAAUAGAUACUCUGUUUUGCUUUGGCCUCUGAAUGGUAAGAGCGGAACGAACCUGUGAUUUAUAUACGAAGAAAAUGUAUUCUGGAAUAAAUGCGGUUCAUCUGAAAUAAGUAGACUAAAACAAAAUAUGAAUUGUGACAUAUAUAACAAAUAUUGUAAUAUACAUAUAAUAUAUUUAUAUUUUAAAAUUUAAGAUAAGUUAUACUAAUAUAAUUUUAAAUAUACUUAUAUUUCUAUUCUUUUUAUUCCAUUUGUUUGUAUUCUGUUUUUCUGAAUUCAUCCUAUUCAUCUUAUUCCUCUAACUUAAAACCAGUUGCAGCCGAAGCUUUUUCUUUCCAAAAGAGGUUUAUAAAACUUGUGUAGAAUUUGGUCCAGCACUUGUUAUUGUUUUGUUACGUUAUAAGAAAGCAAAAAAUUAAAGCUAUGUAUGAAUGGUGACUAAAAAGUGUCCCGCACAUUGAAACGCCCGCUCGGCUCAAAACAUUCAUAACCUUAGUGUGUGUGUGUGUGCAGUUUACAUGAUUUUCACAGAGCUAGGAACAUAAGAGCACACAAACACAGGUGGCCUACGACAUGCGUCUGCGGGGAGGCUAAGAGAAUGAUGUACGACUCCUCCCAGAUUCACUUGUUUGAAGUGUCCAUUUCUACCAAUGAUGCAAGCAGUGUUGCGAGUAAUGCGGCCAACCUCAUCUCUGGCUUCAUCAAGAACCACUGCCACCUCCUCGUCUUCGUCAACGAAGAAACUCCCACCGUUGUCAAGAAACACGAAACCCGUGAGUGGUUUCAUAUCAACACUUAGGAACAGCUUGUUCCACGACACUGCAUCGGGCUCGAUCUUGCUACUACUAAUCCAAAUCUUGACCGUGUAUGGAGGCAAACCUUGUUUCUGAAAUAACACAGCAAACUUCUCUUCUCCAACACUAGAGAGGGUCACUAUGUCUCCGAAGGAGUGAAAAGGCAGAGGCAGACGCGGCCCAAACCUCUCUUUUGUAAAAUCAAAACAAAGUAAGAAAUCACGGAGAUCUGAUAUCUCUGUUCCUGGAGCUACAUCGACAAGCUUCUCUUCAGCAAACCAGCAAGUGUUGCCCUUUAGAGACACGCCACGUUGAUAAAACUCUAUACUCCAGUCAGGGUUGACAUCAACAACAACUUUCCACGAGUUAGAGUUACAACUGUAGAGUUAACGAGCUUACCUAUACGCUCUAAAGAAGAUGGAGUGAGGAGAUCGACGUUCAUUAAAUAAACCUUAUAGUCCAGCAGCAUCACCACCUUCCUCCACUGAUUCUUACCGAUCGAGGUGCUUCUUUAUAAACCCCUCAUCUUUGGUUAAAGUGUUCCACUUUUUACAAGCAAAUCGUACUCUUCCUAGAGAUGUCACCGGAAGCCAAGAGAGCACCUCCUCUGCCACAUCCCUUGGAAGGUCCUAUAUCAUCGUCGCUUUUGUUUCAAUGAUCUGAUCUCUAUUUGUAAAUAACCUUCAAAAUUUAGGGUUUAUCUACCUAUAUAUAGACAUAUCUACAUCAUAUAAAAUAUGUCAUGUACUUUUUUUGGUUUUUUUUUAGUAAUUUAUCUUUUUAUAAUGCUCCUAGUCCAUUGAUAUUCCCAGGUUGCACCAAUAUUUCUACUUAUCCUGCUAUUCCAUUAAGACUUAUCCAGCAAGUUAUUGUUGUUUUGUUUUUGGAUUGUGUCCAUCUUUACGUAUAAACCUAUGUUAAUCUGUUAACUAAAGAAUAGUUAUUGACGUAAUUUCAGCUGAAUUUAUCAUCAUGCUACUACAAAAUAUAUCAUGCAAAAGGUUAUUUGUCCUCAUAUUAGGAUUCAUAUCAUUAUGUAAGUGAACAAACUCGGAUACAGUCUAGGACUGUUGGGUUAAUAUUGCACAAGCAAGCUACAACCGAACUGACUCUUUAUGAUAUCAUUCUACUGAUUUUGUGUGAACCUCGGAGAGAAAUACUUCGACUAUAUCAUGAUAUACAAUAAGCAAUAAAUAAAUGAGACAAGUACUUUUUACGUAGAAAAACUUUUUUGCGAGACAAAAAAUUUAGGGUUUAUCUUUUAUAUAUAUAUAUAGACAGCUAACUACACCAUAUAAGUACAGUCGUGUACAUUUUUUUGUUUUUGUUUUUGGUAAUUUACCUAUUUUAUAAUGGUCCUAGUCCAUUGCGAUUCCUAGGCUGGACCAAUAUUUCUACUUAUCCUGCUACUUCCGUUAAGACUUAUCCGGCAAGUUAUUGUGUUUUUUUUUCUUUAUGUAUAACGAAGUUGCUUGUCGCAUGCGCAUUAAUAAUAAAACUGCGCAACGGUGCAAGUUUUUUUUUUCAUUUAUUUUUAUAUAAAUAUUUUGUUUUCAAUUCUAAAUUGAUAUAUUUUAUAAUACACAUGUGUCUAUCAAUUUUUAAAACAAAAUAAGUUUAUUGUAUAUUUUUUUUCAUUGAAUAGAUUGUUUCAAACUUUCACAUGUAUAUGUAUCUUCUUCUAUAUAUAUAUUUUUGGAUUAUUAUUUCAUUAUUAAAAUCGAAACUAUAUAUAUAAAAAUUAAUAAAAUAUUGUUUUAUUGUCAAUUCAAAGAUAUUGUAACAUUUCACGAAUUCAGAAAGUUUUUAAAAAAUUAAACUUUUCGCUUCAUAGAUUUAUAUUAUCGAGUAAAUAAUUAAACACUUAGUUUUUGUUUAAUUUUUAAAAUAAACUAUAUAGUUUAAAUUUUUUUUCAUUGGUUUAAAGUAGUAAAGAUUAAUCAUUGUUAGAUAAUAUGAUUUUUGUUAUUUAAAAAAAAUAUUUAUAAUUUUAAAAGUUAACAUCGACAAAUAUUUAAAUAUUUAGCAUAUAGAGGUAUAGUAUUACAACAUUAAAUUAUAUCUGUUUAAUUUUUACUAUCUAUAAAUCCAAUGAAUCAUCUAUUGUUUAAAUCCAAUUAUUGAUAGCCCAAUAAAAAUUUCCGGUAGGCCCAAAAUUUAAAUGAUAAUAUUAGAUAUUAAAUGUAACAUGACUUUCUAUAAAUAGGUCGUCUAUUUUUUUAAAAAAUCACAUAUGAAUCAAGGUUGUGACUUAUGUUUUAAUAUAUAAGAUUAGAAGAAUAUAUUACUUUUCAAAACCAAAUUUUGCGAAGGCAGGAGUUGCUAGUCAAGAGUGGCCUUCCUGAGUUAUGUGUGAUGUGGUGACUCGUUUUUUCCGGAAAUCCAAACAUUGUAAAUAGUUUCUCAACCUGAAUUGAACUCAGGUUGCCUAGGUACCAGGGCAACUCAACCUUGGUUGCAAUUUAGUUUUCUUACCACUCAUGAGACGUUCUUGAAUUUGCUGGACAGCGGCUGAUUGAUGUCUGUGUGGAGAACGCUGAGGAGUUCCUGAAGUCUAAUUUUGGCAAAGAGGUCAUAUAUGAGGUAUUGAGUUUUGACUUCUAGCAUUUUUUGUUGUUGUAUUAGUUUUACUCCUGUUAUAAAAACGAUAGGAGAGAGUUAAAUGCUUAUGGUAGUCGGACAACAAAAUAAUUGAUAUAACCAUGUAACUCAUAGAUACUUGUAUGCUCUGAUCUACCCUCCACAACAGAUGCUAGUUUCCAGAUGUCUCAUUCUGUAAUGUUAUGCUUCUCUUUCUCUCAGCUAUUCUCGUUUUGUUGAUCCUCAUUUUCACGUUUAUUCAUAUCAUGUUCCAGUGGGAGGCUGUGAUGGUAUUCUUUUCCCAACUCUGAGCGAGAAGCUGCGUGAGCUCUACGAAACCAUUGCCUCUGUAGCAGCAAAGGUCAGAGAAGACUUCACAGCACCUGGAAGACUUUCACUCAAGCCGAAC
rnacentral:lncRNA from 1 species